UCCGUAGGGUGAACCUGCGGAGGGAUCAUUACACAAAUAUGAAGGCGGGCUGGAACCUCUCGGGGUUACAGCCUUGCUGAAUUAUUCACCCUUGUCUUUUGCGUACUUCUUGUUUCCUUGGUGGGUUCGCCCACCACUAGGACAAACAUAAACCUUUUGUAAUUGCAAUCAGCGUCAGUAACAAAUUAAUAAUUACAACUUUCAACAACGGAUCUCUUGGUUCUGGCAUCGAUGAAGAACGCAGCGAAAUGCGAUAAGUAGUGUGAAUUGCAGAAUUCAGUGAAUCAUCGAAUCUUUGAACGCACAUUGCGCCCUUUGGUAUUCCAAAGGGCAUGCCUGUUCGAGCGUCAUUUGUACCCUCAAGCUUUGCUUGGUGUUGGGCGUCUUGUCUCUAGCUUUGCUGGAGACUCGCCUUAAAGUAAUUGGCAGCCGGCCUACUGGUUUCGGAGCGCAGCACAAGUCGCACUCUCUAUCAGCAAAGGUCUAGCAUCCAUUAAGCCUUUUUUUUCAACUUUGACCUCGGAUCAGGUAGG
rnacentral:rRNA from 1 species